rnacentral:rRNA from 1 species
ACGAACGCUGGCGGCGUGCCUAAUACAUGCAAGUAGAACGCUGAAGGAGGAGCUUGCUUCUCCGGAUGAGUUGCGAACGGGUGAGUAACGCGUAGGUAACCUGCCUGGUAGCGGGGGAUAACUAUUGGAAACGAUAGCUAAUACCGCAUAAGAGUAGAUGUCGCAUGACAUUUGCUUAAAAGGUGCAACUGCACCACUACCAGAUGGACCUGCGUCGUAUUAGCUAGUUGGUGAGGUAACGGCUCACCAAGGCAACGAUACAUAGCCGACCUGAGAGGGUGACCGCCACCCUGGGAACGGGACACGGGCCCGGCUUCUUCCGGGAGGAGGCGGAGGGAAAUCUCCGGCAUGGAACGAAAGUUGGACCGACAACCGCGGGGGAGGUAAGGAAGGUUUCGGAUCGUAAAGCUCUGUUGUAAGAGAAGAACGAGUGUGAGAGUGGAAAGUUCACACUGUGACGGUAUCUUACCAGAAAGGGACGGCUAACUACGUG